rnacentral:rRNA from 1 species
AUUGAACGCUGGCGGCAGGCUUAACACAUGCAAGUCGAGCGGAUGAAGGGAGCUUGCUCCUGGAUUUCGCGGCGGACGGGUGUGUAAUGCCCAGGAAUCUGCUUGGUAGUGCGGGAUAACGUCCGGAGAAGGGUGGUAAUAACGCAUACGUCCUGCGGGUGCUAGAGGGGGAUGUUCGGACAUUUCGCUAUCAGAUGAGUCUACGGCGGAUUUGUCAGGUGGUGGGGUAAAGGCCUGCUAAGGAGACGAUCCGCAACUGGUCUGAGAGGAUGAUCAGUCAGACUGGGACGGUGACACGGUCCAGAGUCCUUGAGGUAGCGGCAAUGGGGAAUAUUGGACAAUGAGCGGAAACCUGAUCCAGACAUGCCGCGUGUGUGAAGAAGGUCUUCGGAUUGUAAAGCACUGUAAGUUGGGAGGAAGGGCAUUAAGUUAAUGCCGUACUGUGUGGGCGGUACCAGCAGAAAGAGCACCGGCUAACUUCGUG